rnacentral:piRNA from 1 species
UGCAAUGGUUAAGAGGAGCAGCCCAAU